CAGUGUGCUCACACUAUACUUAACUGUUCAAUAGAUUGGCAAAUAAAUGUAUACGAAAUGUAUGUAUGUAUGUAUGUGU